UUUGGAGGGCAAGUCUGGUGCCAGCAGCCGCGGUAAUUCCAGCUCCAAUAGCGUAUAUUAAAGUUGUUGCAGUUAAAAAGCUCGUAGUUGAAUUUCGGGAUUAAUUUACUGGUCGUGCUAUUGUACGUACUGGUUUUAUUGAUUCCUACCUUCUGACGAACCAUGAUGUCAUUAAUUUGGUGUCUUGGGGAAUCAGGACUGUUACUUUGAAAAAAUUAGAGUGUUUAAAGCAGGCUCACGCUUGAAUACAUUAGCAUGGAAUAACGAAAUAGGACGUUUGAUUCUAUUUUGUUGGUUUCUAGGAUCGACGUAAUGAUUAAUAGGGAUAGUUGGGGGCAUUAGUAUUCAAUUGUCAGAGGUGAAAUUCUUGGAUUUAUUGAAGACUAACUACUGCGAAAGCAUUUGCCAAGGAUGUUUUCAUUAAUCAAGAACGAAAGUUUGGGGAUCGAAGACGAUCAGAUACCGUCGUAGUCUUAACCAUAAACUAUGCCGACUAGGGAUCGGACGAUGUUAAUUUUUUAAUGACUCAUUCGGCGCCUUACGGGAAAC
rnacentral:rRNA from 1 species